AUAAGUGUGAUGAAAAAGAAAAAGUAUUUAUAAAGCUAAAAGAGAGUUAGUGGUUGGUGUAAACUAAUAGCAAAAAAAUAUGGGGAACUUUGGAGCACGAUUAUAACGAAGAGGAUAAUUAAAUUUAUCAAUUAGGGUGGAACCGCGGAAUAUAACUUUCGUCCCUAGC
rnacentral:ncRNA from 1 species